ACAUUUUGACAUUUUGACAUUUUGACAUUUUGACAUUUGGACAUUUUGACAUUUUGACAUUUUGACAUUUUGACAUUUUGACAUUUUGACAUUUUGACAUUUUGACAUUUUGACAUUUUGACAUUUUGACAUUUUGACAUUUUGACAUUUUGACAUUUUGACAUUUUGACAUUUUGACAUUUUAACCAAAAAUGCGAAACUUAAAUUUUCUUGUUUAAUUUUCAAUGUACGUAAUAUUUGAACGACCCUAUAAUUUGUUAUGUCAUCGUAGUAUUUGAACAUCCCAUCGUAGCAGUCAAUGUCCGCCAUGACAAAUUGAACCAAAUAUCGCGUCUGUUUUGUUCGCUGCAGCGGUGCCGUUUUUUCCAUUUUCUGUGGUGAAAAUUAAGAAAAAAAAUGUUUGAACUGCCGCUGUUACUAUCAAGUUAUGGCCGUACGAUGACCGGAAAAUCUGGAACAACCAGCAUCUCGUGGCCAACCGAACCGAAUCCUCAUUCGGUAGAUCCAGCUCAAUAAAAGUGUGCUUCAACAGUGUUAAAUAUUAUGAAAAUAAAUGUUCUAAAACUGUUUCA